rnacentral:rRNA from 1 species
AACGAACGCUGGCGGCAUGCCUAACACAUGCAAGUCGAACGAGACCUUCGGGUCUAGUGGCGCACGGGUGCGUAACGCGUGGGAACCUGCCCUUAGGUUCGGAAUAACUCCCCGAAGGGGGUGCUCAUACCGGAUAAUGUCUUCGGACCAAAGAUUUCUCGCCUUUGGAUGGGCCCGCGUUGGAUUAGCUAGUUGGUAGGGUAAAAGCCUACCAAGGCGACGAUCCAUAGCUGGUCUGAGAGGAUGAUCAGCCACACUGGGACUGAGACACGGCCCAGACUCCUACGGGAAGCAGCAGGGGGGAAUAUUGGACAAGGGGCGAAAGCCUGAUACAGCAAUGCCGCGUGAGUGAUGAAGGCCUUAGGGUUGUAAAGCUCUUUUACCCGGGAGGAUAAUGACAGUACCGGGAGAAUAAGCUCCGGCUAACUCCGUG